AUGCACGCUGGCGGCGUGCCUAAUCCCUGCCAGUCGAGCGAACAGACGAGGAGCUUGCUCCUCUGACGUUAGCGGCGGACGGGUGAGUAACACGUGGAUAACCUACCUAUAAGACUGGGAUAACUUCGGGAAACCGGAGCUAAUACCGGAUAAUAUAUUGAACCGCAUGGUUCAAUAGUGAAAGACGGUUUUGCUGUCACUUAUAGAUGGAUCCGCGCCGCAUUAGCUAGUUGGUAAGGUAACGGCUUACCAAGGCGACGAUGCGUAGCCGACCUGAGAGGGUGAUCGGCCACACUGGAACUGAGACACGGUCCAGACUCCUACGGGAGGCAGCAGUAGGGAAUCUUCCGCAAUGGGCGAAAGCCUGACGGAGCAACGCCGCGUGAGUGAUGAAGGUCUUCGGAUCGUAAAACUCUGUUAUUAGGGAAGAACAAAUGUGUAGGUAACUAUGCACGUCUUGACGGUACCUAAUCAGAAAGCCACGGCUAACUACGUG
rnacentral:rRNA from 1 species